AUGGAUGUGCGUGCUGGGAUAAAUGUGCAGAGGCCACAGGACGGCUCGCCUAGUGGGCUUGGCGUAAAUGCUUUUCUCUCGGGUCUGAAAACUUUUCUCAGGCGCCUUAACUUGGCGUGGGGACCGGCCUCCGGCAGCGGCGGCCCGCCCCUUGGGCCCCUCCCCUCCACAGCUGGUCCCCUCCGCCCGCUCGAGCCGGGGACGCGCGCGGGACACCAGCGCGCAGAGGCCGCCUCGCGCGCGCGAGCCGCGCCUUAUAUCCGCGGAGGGCGGCGCCUGCGCAAGGCCCGGCUCGGCGGCACGGCCUUUGAAGUCGUGGCGGCUGCCGCUUUCAUCCUUUCUUUUUUCCCUUGCAGGCCCCUUUGUGUGACUAAAUUUGGCAAGAAUAUGGAUCCGAGCCAGUCUUUCCACGUGUGCUCCCAGCUCCCAGCUGAGAAGGCCAAGGGUUCUCUUCCGGGAAAACCAAUUCGGCUAUUAAGGGAACCUCUCAACAGAGCAGAGGAGGAGAAGGCAAGGUUUCAGAAAGAAGAGCUGUUUACCAUCAAAGCAAACUGGGUUCCACACAGACAUAGCGUAUCAUACACAAAGACAAAGGAUGUGGCACCAGAACGUCACCAGUCCGCAAAUAGCCCUUCCUGCACAGGCGUUUCAGUAAACUGUCUCUGCAUCCACUGUGUGGAACGAGGUACAUGA
ensembl:lncRNA